rnacentral:rRNA from 1 species
CGUGUAGGCGGUCCGGCAAGCGGCUUGUGAAAGCCCGGAGCUCAACUCCGGAAUUGCAGGCUGAACUGCCGAGCUAGAGGGCAGGAGGGGGUGUGGAACUCCAGGUGUAGCGGUGAAAUGCGUAGAUAUCUGGAGGAACGCCGGUGGCGAAAGCGACACCCUGGCCUGUUUCUGACGCUGAGGCGCGAAAGCGUGGGUAGCAAACA